AACGAACGCUGGCGGCAUGCCUAACACAUGCAAGUCGAACGAGACCUUCGGGUCUAGUGGCGCACGGGUGCGUAACGCGUGGGAACCUGCCUUUAGGUUCGGAAUAACUCAGAGAAAUUUGAGCUAAUACCGGAUGAUGUCUUCGGACCAAAGAUUUCUCGCCUUUAGAUGGGCCCGCGUUGGAUUAGCUAGUUGGUGGGGUAAAGGCCUACCAAGGCGACGAUCCAUAGCUGGUCUGAGAGGAUGAUCAGCCACACUGGGACUGAGACACGGCCCAGACUCCUACGGGAGGCAGCAGUGGGGAAUAUUGGACGAUGGGCGAAAGCCUGAUCCAGCAAUGCCGCGUGAGUGAUGAAGGCCUUAGGGUUGUAAAGCUCUUUUACCCGAGAUGAUAAUGACAGUAUCGGGAGAAUAAGCACCGGCUAACUCCGUG
rnacentral:rRNA from 1 species